CCUGGAAAUGGUUGAGACUACCCUGCCACGAUUUUGCUCCCGCUCCCGCCUAGGUUCACGUUUACCUCCGAACCGCAUGCACAACUGGAGGAGAACUUCUGCCGGAACCCAGAUGGGGAUAGCCAUGGGCCCUGGUGCUACACGAUGGACCCAAGAACCCCAUUCGACUACUGUGCCCUGCGACGCUGCGCUGAUGACCAGCCGCCAUCAAUCCUGGACCCCCCAGACCAGGUGCAGUUUGAGAAGUGUGGCAAGAGGGUGGAUCGGCUGGAUCAGCGUCGUUCCAAGCUGCGCGUGGUUGGGGGCCAUCCAGGCAACUCACCCUGGACAGUCAGCUUGCGGAAUCGGCAAACUAACAAGUGAGCCUUGGGGCAACGGACUGAGUCACAAAUGACCUAGCAGAGCUUCUCUCCCAGCCAUAUGCCUCUCACAGGCUAUGAGGUAUGGUUGGGCACCCUGUUCCAGAAUCCACAGCACGGAGAACCAGGCCUACAGCGGGUCCCAGUAGCCAAGAUGGUGUGUGGGCCCUCAGGCUCCCAGCUUGUCCUGCUCAAGCUGGAGAG
rnacentral:sRNA from 1 species